GACCCCUACGCUGGAACGGAGGAUGAGUUGGAGUAGGACCCAUGGACACCACGGCCGGACCAUCGGCAGGAGGACCCCUCCGCUGCAGCGGAGGAUGACCCAGAGGAGGAUCCCAUGGAUACUAUGGCCGGACCAUCGGCAUGAGAUGUCCUCAAGGCCAGCGAAUGGGUCAGCGUCACCGACACACUUGGGUGGUAUACUCCACUGGAGGCAGCACUCGGCAAGUGAUGUCGUUAUUGUCU